rnacentral:rRNA from 1 species
UGGAGAGUUUGAUCCUGGCUCAGGACGAACGUUGGCGGUGCGCUUAAUGCAUGCAAGUCGAACGAGAACCGUUCUUUCCGUAAGGAUCGAGCGGGGACAGUGGCGAACGGGUGCGUAACACGUGAGAAACCUGCCCCAGAGACUGGGAUAACCCAAGGAAACUUGGACUAAUACCGGAUACCUUCCUUCUAUCACAUGAUGGAUUGAAUAAAUGGUCCGCCGCUCUGGGAUGGUCUCGCGGCCUAUCAGCUAGUUGGUGAGGUAAUGGCUCACCAAGGCAAAGACGGGUAGCUGGUCUGAGAGGACGAUCAGCCACACUGGGACUGAGACACGGCCCAGACUCCUACGGGAGGCAGCAGCAGGGAAUAUUGCACAAUGGGCGAAAGCCUGAUGCAGCGACACCGCGUGCGGGAUGAAUGCCUUCGG